AUGUCAUGCGCUCGAGGUGGUCUCCCGUUUGGCCUCGUGCGACCCGGUCGUACGAGAUUUUUUUCCUUGUCUGUUCGGAACAUCGUUGUCCUCCAAGGUUACAUCAAGUAUUUCGAGAUGCACAAUAAUGUCAGACCGAGCUCAUACACCGGAAGCUCCCCGAUAUUAGAAGGUUGGAUUGCUGCAACAAAAAAGAUAAAAAUUUCAAGCAUUGGUUCUGGUAGUAACUGGGAGGAGGACUGCACUAUCAGAUGCUGUGAUGAUGUCCCAGUGGAUAACCCUGUGUAUGCCCAAAUGUUACCUAAUCCGCAGGAGGGUGAUGAUACCAAGCCAAACCUGAAGAAAAUUUGUGUAGGCUAUCCUGCUCUUAGCUUGCAUGAUGGUGAUGUUGUUUACCUCAUGCACACACUUGAUCCCCGUCAGGUUAAGGCCUGUGUGAUUGUUCUUGAUAUGAGGAACAAGACUGUAAAAGGUGUGGCUAAUUUUGGCUCUGGAAGACGCCUGGGUUAUCAUUCACCUACCUUGAGAGUGGGAUCUCCAAGCAUCUGGGCAUUCUCUCACCGACCAGGAUGGUGA
rnacentral:rRNA from 1 species